rnacentral:rRNA from 1 species
UACGGAGGGUGCAAGCGUUAAUCGGAAUUACUGGGCGUAAAGCGCGCGUAGGUGGUUUGGUAAGCGAGAUGUGAAAGCCCCGGGCUUAACCUGGGAACGGCAUUUCGAACUGCCAGACUAGAGUGUGGUAGAGGGUAGUGGAAUUUCCUGUGUAGCGGUGAAAUGCGUAGAUAUAGGAAGGAACACCAGUGGCGAAGGCGGCUACCUGGACCAACACUGACACUGAGGUGCGAAAGCGUGGGGAGCAAACAGGAUUAGAUACCCCGGUAGUCCCUGAG